AGGACGAACGCUUGCGACGUGCCUAAGAAAUGCAAGUCGAACGGGGUAGCAAUACCUAGUGGCGAACGGUCGCGUAACACGUGGGCAACCUGCCCUGAAGCGGGGGACAACAGCUCGAAAGAGCUGCUAAUACCGCAUGUGGAUUCGGAGUGGCAUCACUUUGCAUCCAAAGCCGCAAGGCACUUCAGGAUGGGCCCGCGGCCUAUCAGCUUGUUGGUGAGGUAACGGCCCACCAAGGCUUCGACAGGUAGCUGGUCUGAGAGGACGAUCAGCCGGAUUGGGACUGAGAUACGGCCCAGACUCCUACGGGGGGCAGCAAUUAGGAAUCUUGCACAAUGGGCGAAAGCCUGAUGCAGCGACGUCGCGUGUGGGAUGAAGCCUUUCGGGCGUAACCACUUUUAUCGGGGAAGAAAAAAAUGACGGUACCCGGUGAAUAGCCCGGCUAACUACGUGCCAGCAGCCGC
rnacentral:rRNA from 1 species